rnacentral:pre_miRNA from 1 species
UGCCUGGCAUUUCUCUGUUCACUCCGUUUUCUUAGUGCAGAUAAGUGUCCAGGUUUC